UACAGAGACUGCAAGCGUUAUUCGGAUUCACUGGGCGUAAAGGGUGCGCAGGCGGUUGUGCGUGUCUGGUGUGAAAGCCCGGGGCUUAACCCCGGAAUUGCGCCUGAAACUACAUGACUAGAGCAUUGGAGAGGGUAGCGGAAUUCACGGUGUAGCAGUGAAAUGCGUAGAUAUCGUGAGGAACACCAGAGGCGAAGGCGGCUACCUGGACAAUUGCUGACGCUCAGGCACGAAAGCGUGGGGAGCAAAAGGG
rnacentral:rRNA from 1 species